rnacentral:rRNA from 1 species
AUUGAACGCUGGCGGCAUGCCUUACACAUGCAAGUCGAACGGUAACGCGGGGCAACCUGGCGACGAGUGGCGAACGGGUGAGUAAUGUAUCGGAACGUGCCCAGUUGUGGGGGAUAACUGCUCGAAAGAGCAGCUAAUACCGCAUACGACCUGAGGGUGAAAGCGGGGGAUCGCAAGACCUCGCCCCAUUGGAGCGGCCGAUAUCAGAUUAGGUAGUUGGUGGGGUAAAGGCUCACCAAGCCAACGAUCUGUAGCUGGUCUGAGAGGACGACCAGCCACACUGGGACUGAGACACGGCCCAGACUCCUACGGGAGGCAGCAGUGGGGAAUUUUGGACAAUGGACGCAAGUCUGAUCCAGCCAUGCCGCGUGCGGGAAGAAGGCCUUCGGGUUGUAAACCGCUUUUGUCAGGGAAGAAACGCUCUGGGUUAAUACCUCGGGGUAAUGACGGUACCUGAAGAAUAAGCACCGGCUAACUACGUGCCAGCCGCCGCCGUAAAAC